GAGAUUCGUUGAGAAGUGCCACCACAAGUAGGCUACACGACUCCUUUGGUGUCACGGUGAAUCUCUCACCGGCUCUCUGAUAAUAAAGCACCUGCCGUUGUACCGAAACUUGUGCCAUCUGGAUUUGUGAAAGAAUUACUCCAACAUUUGGUGCUGUGACUCAGACCUCAACAUAGGGAACGUCUCACGGGGCUGAGUGACAGGAAAAUCUGAAUUGGACAGAACCAAGCUGUAAGGGCACCACAAGGUAUUUUACCCCAGACUGCUCCUUGUGAUCUGUCCCUCGCCCUGUGGAACUGGUACCUUGAAGAGGUUGCGUGAACCAACCGGACCCAGCUUGUAAGGCCUUAUGGUUACUAUCCAGCCUAGCGGUGAUCAAAUGCUCAGCCCUGACUGGUGCUGCUGACAGAAUCUUCAAGGGCAAUGCAUAAGCAGAUGCUGCCGCCAAGUAGGCAGCCUUAAACCUCACUUUCCUGGUCCCAUUGGGUUCCCAGCAACACAGAGUCACAAAAAGAAUAAGGGCAGAAAUGCCAGACCUGGGUGAGAUACAUCAUUUACAGAGGACGCCCCUACAGAGGAGCACAGACUGUGGGUCACAGAUGGGGUGCACCCUUGAUGCUCAUACCAAACUGUGGAUAACCCCUGCCAGAAAGAUUCACAGGUAUGCCAGGCUUACCGAGAGAGUGACGAUCUGUCUGAGGGGGACCACCCCGCUGCCAAACCGGGGGACUUCAUCCUGAUAAAGGACUGGGAAUGAAAGAAACUGGGACCAAGAUGGAAAGGACCGUUUCAGAUGCGGCUGACCACUCCCACGGCUGUGAAGAUACAAGGGUAGCCCCAGUGGAUACACAAAACUGACUCCAAAAGAAUCAGCGCAGAAACAAACACUGAUAAGGACAAAGAUGUUUUCUAUAUUUGUGACUUUGGUGACUUUGGGAAAUGGGGCCUUGAGAACAGAUGUAUUUCAAACUGACACCCCUAUGCAUAACAACUUUUUGCAUCUGGCCCUACCAGACAGCCCAUGUAAUGGGGAGAGAUGCCCCCUGCUGGGAAUGUGCCCAUGCCACCCCACUCGGGGGCGAAUCCCGUUGUGGCCCGUACCUUUUUGCUUGUGAUCUUGCUAACACUGAUGAUGCAUGGGAAUGGCAGCCGGCAGGGUAUAACCUGACCUUAUUCAGGGAUUGUUAUUGCCCUAAUUACAACCAAUCACAUAGACCUCCCCUGCCCCCCUACCCCUUGUCGUUCUCAGCAACACCAUCAACUACAUCAUUUGUUUCAGGUGGGAAGGGAAACCCUGUAAAGGUACUUAGGUCGGGACGAGGAAGUGCUGUUUUGCUACCCCCUGGGUCGAACCUGUUCAGAACCUAACAAAAUAUGGCUACUUUGUAUUUGAUUGGUCUGCUGUCCCAAACAGAAGAUCAGGCUGCCUCUGGAAUAACCCUGCUCCCAGGUUGUGGGGUGGGGGGGGGCGGGCACUUUCCACCUUAACAGCUUACAAUGACACAUAUUUUAUUUACA